AGCAGCCGCGGUAAUUCCAGCUCCAAUAGCGUAUAUUAAAGUUGUUGCAGUUAAAAAGCUCGUAGUUGAAUUUCGGGAUCAGUUCGUCGGUCGUGCCUUUGGUAUGUACUGGUGUUACUGGUUCCUCCCUUCUGACGAACCGUCAUGUCAUUAAUUUGGUGUGGCGGGAAAUCAGGACUGUUACUUUGAAAAAAUUAGAGUGUUUAAAGCAGGCUCGCGCUUGAAUACAUUAGCAUGGAAUAAUGAAAUAGGACGUUCGAUCCUAUUUUGUUGGUUUCUAGGAUUGACGUAAUGAUUAAUAGGGAUAGUUGGGGGCAUUAGUAUUCAAUUGUCAGAGGUGAAAUUCUUGGAUUUAUUGAAGACUAACUACUGCGAAAGCAUUUGCCAAGGAUGUUUUCAUUAAUCAAGAACGAAAGUUAGGGGAUCGAAGACGAUCAGAUACCGUCGUAGUCUUAACCAUAAACUAUGCCGACUAGGGAUCGGAUGAUGUUAAUUUUUUAAUGACUCAUUCGGCGCCUUA
rnacentral:rRNA from 1 species